UACAGAGGUCUCAAGCGUUGUUCGGAUUCAUUGGGCGUAAAGGGUGCGUAGGUGGCGCCAUAAGUCGGGUGUGAAAUCUCGGGGCUUAACUCCGAAACUGCAUUCGAUACUGUGGUGCUUGAGGACUGGAGAGGAGACUGGAAUUCAUGGUGUAGCAGUGAAAUGCGUAGAUAUCCGGAGGAACACCGGUGGCGAAGGCGGCUUCCUGGACCGACACUGACGCUGAGGCGCGAAAGCUAGGGGAGCAAACGGG
rnacentral:rRNA from 1 species